CUGUUAGAUGAAGACCAGCGUAAUGAGCUUGUCGGAUUUUCAGAGAGGUGGUGCAUGGCCGUCGUCAGUUCGUACUGCAAAGCGUUCUGUUAAGUCAGAUAACGAACGAGACCCGCAUCCCUAUUUGCCACCCUGUUCUCCGGAGCAGGCGCACCAUAGGGAGACCGCUGGUGUGAAACCAGAGGAAGGCGCGGGCAACGACAGGUCAGUAUGCCCCGAAUGUCUUGGGCUACACGCGCGCUACAAAGGACGGGACAAUGGGAAGCCAGGCCGAGAGGUCGAGCUAACCCGAAACCCGUUCAUAGUUCGGAUCGAGGGCUGUAACUCGCCCUCGUGAAGCUGGAUUCCGUAGUAAUCGUGUUUCAACAUAGCACGGUGAAUAUGCCCCUGCUCCUUGCACACACCGCCCGUCAAACCAUCUUAGUUGGGGGUGGGUGAGGCUGCGCUUUUUGGCGUAUUCGAGCCUGCCUUCGACAAGGAGGGUUAAGUCGUAACAAGGUAUCUGUAGGGGAACCUGCAGAUGGAUCACCUCCUAAGAAA
rnacentral:rRNA from 1 species